AGUGAACGCUGGCGGCAGGCCUAACACAUGCAAGUCGAACGGCAGCACAGUGGAGCUUGCUCCAUGGGUGGCGAGUGGCGGACGGGUGAGGAAUACAUCGGAAUCUGCCCAGUCGUGGGGGAUAACAUAGGGAAACUUAUGCUAAUACCGCAUACGACCUACGGGUGAAAGCGGGGGAUCGCAAGACCUCGCGCGAGUGGAUGAGCCGAUGUCCGAUUAGCUAGUUGGCGGGGUAAUGGCCCACCAAGGCGACGAUCGGUAGCUGGUCUGGGAGGAUGAUCAGCCACACUGGAACUGAGACACGGUCCAGACUCCUACGGGAGGCAGCAGUGGGGAAUAUUGGACAAUGGGCGAAAGCCUGAUCCAGCCAUGCCGCGUGGGUGAAGAAGGCCUUCGGGUUGUAAAGCCCUUUUGUCCGGAAAGAAAAGUCCCGGGUUAAUACCCUGGGGUGAUGACGGUACCGGAAGAAUAAGCAUCGGCUAACUUCGUGCCAGCCGCCGCAGUAACAC
rnacentral:rRNA from 1 species